UACAAAGUCACACUCUACAGACGAGCACAGUGAUUAACAGCAAUAACUAUUAUUAACUACGUGGUCCACGUGUCAUUAGUUACCUGAGCUCCGUUGGCACAGACCAGGCUGAGCUCCACGAUGAAUACCGACUCUGCAGAGAUGACGGCGUCCGAGGUGGUGUAGGCCGACGGGGUGAUCGUCGGUUCGGUACAGCUCUCUCCUGUCACCACGGUUGUAAAAUAAAUACACAGGUCCGGUGAGUAUGCUGACCAUGCAAGAACUGGGACGUUUUCAGCUUCCAAGAAUUGUGUACAGAUCCUUCCAACAUGGGGCCGUGCAUUAUUCUGCUGCAACAUGAGAUGAUGUUCUUGGAUGCACCUGCCCAUACCAUAACCCCACCGCCACCAUGGGCCACUCGAUCCACAACAUCAGAAAACCGCCCACCCAAACGACGCCACACACCCUCUGCCAUCUGCCCUGAACAGAGUAAACCGGGAUUCAUCCAUGAAGAGAACACCUCUCCAACGUGCAGGACGCCAUCCAACGUGAGCAUUUGCCCACUCAAGUCGGUUAUGACGACGAACUGGAGUCAGGUCGAGACUCCGAUGAGGAUGACGAGCAUGCAGAUGAGCUUCCCUGAAACGAUUUCUGACAGUUUGUGCAGAAAUCCUUUGGUUAUGCAAACCGAUUGUUUCAGCAGCGGUCCGAGUGGCUGGUCUCAGACGAUCUUGGAGGUGAACAUGCUGGAUGUGGAGGUCCUGGGCUGGUGUGGCCAAAAUAUGCAAAAUACUUGGGACGUCUCCCUGUAACAGCCCUGCUCCUCUCCCCUUGCGUCCCUCACGUCCCCCCCUCUUUUGAGCUGCCUGGCCAGCAGGAGUGGAGGCGGCGACGGCGGAGGAGGAAGAAGAGAUCUCUUGCAGUGUGUGCUUUGAGACAAGCUCCUUGAAGACUGAGUCCAUCUGGCGACAGACCUCCUGGGAUAAAUAAAACAUGAUGAGAAGGAAGCUAUAACUUUAGUUUUUUGGACUCCGGUGAGUGUACAUCGCAUUUGGCUAUGUAUGACUUAGUGGUGACAAACUCGUAUUUAACUCAGUCAUAGGCCGAUAUUAUUUAAAAAGACCGAAGAGCACAAACCUUGUCUACUUGAAUUGUAUCUUCAGCAGCGGCUUGUAGCUGUCUGUCGGAGGACAAAAAAGCUGCAUAUGAAUGUGCACACAAAAACAGUUGAAUUGUGAGUGCGACUGCACUCACUCUCUGCGUGCAAAGCCAGGAGAGUGGAUCCUUCUCGGCCUGCCUUGGGGCCCAGUGGGAAUCUGGAGGACAAUCUUUCCACCUGAAGGGAUGCUGACUCCUGCUGCUGGUCCUGAUGCUGACCUACGGUGGUCUGCAAGGCCACCCUUGUUGGAUUUAGAACCUUCUGCCCUUUUCUGAGGGGGUCCUGUGGUGGAGUUGCUGCGAUUUACCAACUGUCCCACUUCCACUUCUGUAGCACAUCAUAUUUGGACGUUAUUUAUUCUAAUAAGAAAAAGCAGAUACCUUAUUGAAAAGUAAGAUGUACAGAUACUCAACUUACCAACUUUAGCAUGAGAGAACUCUGCCUCCCCAUCCCCUUCCUCAACAACGGCUUCACUGUGAAGGAAAACACCAUUAGAGAGUGACAACACCGUCUUUUGUACAGCUUUUGUCUUACCAGUCAUCUUGUUCCUGCGUCAUGCACUUCUCAUACACGGGACCUCUGAUCUCGCUCUGACUGGGGAAGAUGUUCUCGUGCUGGACGAUCAAGCUCUUUACUAGGGCGUUGAUCUGAGGCUGCAGGGUGACCACAUCGUCGUCGUUGGCCCCUCUGACAAGACUGGGGCCAAAACAGACGGCGAGGUUGUACGGCUGCAUCAUGUUCUCAUCGCUGUAUUGAGACACACUGGCCACAAGAAUAAAAAGAGAAGAAAAAUGCUGAAAUUAUUCAAACAAAAAUUAUUCUAUUUCAUGUCCAAAUUGGCUAUACUGUAUAGGCUAAGGGGGUCCAAACUUUUCCCAGCGAGGGUUGCAUCAAAAAUCAAAGGAUACGGGGGUCACUUUGAGUUAUGUUUUGUAAACCAACCCAUGCAUACAGUAUAUGCUAACAAGUUAUAUAUAUUUAAAGAAAAACAGCCUGCAUCUCAGCUUUGUGUUACAGGUGACAAAUUUAUUCUUUGUUUUGUUCCAAACAUU